CCAGCUCCCAGCCCAGGGCCUGUCUGAAUUAACCCGCUUAACCCUCUUCUGACUGGAUAUUGUGAGGCCCCAGAGCGCUGUCCUGGUGAGCACGGGCACAGCUGUCCCUGCCCCACUGGCUUGGCUGUGGGUACAUGGUCUCUGAAGGGGGUGGCCGUGCCCUGGCCCCUGCCACACAGUGAACACACAGGAGCUGAGGGGGCAGGGCCAGCCUCACUCCCGCAGCCACUGCUGCCCAUCUGGCCACACACAGGAUGCCCCUGGUAGUGUCUGCUCUGGUGCCAGGGCUGUUGGGGGCAGGCUGGAGGAAGAUGGCACUAAGCCAAUAAUGGGCAGGAAUUGUCCCAACCUGAGGUCCCACCUCUAUCCAGCUGGGAGGCCUUGGUGUCCCCACCUGCACACAAAGGCACAGGAGCAGGUAGUCACAGAGCCCAGAGCAGCAGGCAGCCUCACACGCUGCCCACAGCAGUGCCCAGCGGGCCCCCGAGCCCUCAUGCAUCCCUGAGCCGUGAGCACCCAAC
rnacentral:lncRNA from 1 species